CCUACGGGAGGCAGCAGUGGGGAAUAUUGGACAAUGGGGGGAACCCUGAUCCAGCGACGCCGCGUGAGUGAAGAAGUAUUUCGGUAUGUAAAGCUCUAUCAGCAGGGAAGAAAGAAAUGACGGUACCUGACUAAGAAGCCCCGGCUAACUACGUGCCAGCAGCCGCGGUAAUACGGAGGGGGCAAGCGUUAUCCGGAUUUACUGGGUGUAAAGGGAGCGUAGACGGCGAUGCAAGUCUGAAGUGAAAGGCGGGGGCCCAACCCCCGGACUGCUUGGGAAACUGUAUGGCUGGAGUGCAGGAGAGGUAAGUGGAAUUCCUAGUGUAGCGGUGAAAUGCGUAGAUAUUAGGAGGAACACCAGUGGCGAAGGCGGCUUACUGGACUGUAACUGACGUUGAGGCUCGAAAGCGUGGGGAGCAAACAGGAUUAGAUACCCGUGUAGUC
rnacentral:rRNA from 1 species